rnacentral:rRNA from 1 species
AGAGUUUGAUCAUGGCUCAGAUUAAACGCUGGCGGCAUGCCUUACACAUGCAAGUCGAACGGUAGCGCGGGGCAACCUGGCGACGAGUGGCGAACGGGUGAGUAAAGCAUCGGAACGUGCCCUGGAAUGGGGGAUAACGUAGCGAAAGUUACGCUAAUACCGCAUAUUCUGUGAGCAGGAAAGCAGGGGAUCGCAAGACCUUGCGUUCUGGGAGCGGCCGAUGUCGGAUUAGCUAGUUGGUGGGGUAAAAGCCUACCAAGGCGACGAUCCGUAGCGGGUCUGAGAGGAUGAUCCGCCACACUGGGACUGAGACACGGCCCAGACUCCUACGGGAGGCAGCAGUGGGGAAUUUUGGACAAUGGGCGGAAGCCUGAUCCAGCCAUGCCGCGUGAGUGAAGAAGGCCUUCGGGUUGUAAAGCUCUUUCGGUGGGGAAGAAAUUGCACGGGUUAAUACCCUGUGUAGAUGACGGUACCCGACUAAGAAGCACCGGCUAACUACGUG